UACGGAGGGUGCGAGCGUUGUCCGGAAUCAUUGGGCGUAAAGGGCGCGUAGGUGGCCUGGUCAGCGUGCGGUGAAAGCUCGGGGCUCAACCCCGAGUCGGCCGUGCGAACUGCUGGGCUUGAGCACUGUAGAGGCAGGCGGAAUUCCGGGUGUAGCGGUGGAAUGCGUAGAGAUCCGGAAGAACACCGGUGGCGAAAGCGCUCUGCUGGACCUUAACUGACACUGAGGGACGAAAGCUAGGGGAGCGAAUGGG
rnacentral:rRNA from 1 species